rnacentral:rRNA from 1 species
GACGGAGGGCGCGAGCGUUGUCCGGAAUCAUUGGGCGUAAAGCGCGUGUAGGCGGUUCGGUAAGUCCGCUGUGAAAGUCGGGGGCUCAACCCUCGGAUGCCGGUGGAUACUGUCGGACUAGAGUACGGAAGAGGCGAGUGGAAUUCCUGGUGUAGCGGUGAAAUGCGCAGAUAUCAGGAGGAACACCGAUUGCGAAGGCAGCUCGCUGGGACGUUACUGACGCUGAGACGCGAAAGCGUGGGGAGCAAACAGG